GCUGUAGUGGCCUAGUGGUUAGAGCGUCCGCCUCGGAUGCGGGAGGUCGUGGGUUCGAUGCCCGGUCGAGACUUACAAAA